rnacentral:misc_RNA from 1 species
AAGUCGUAACAAGGUUUCCGUAGGUGAACCUGCGGAAGGAUCAUUAACACGUAUCCACGUUCAAGCAACCGAGGAUCCAUAUCAAUCUCUCCCUCUGGAGGAAAAUGAGUGCGGCCUGGUUUCGGGUAUGAGUGAGGUCCUCGGACCAACCAUUUCCUCGCUAACUUAGACUUCGGUCUAGACCACUGUAUUUCACAAGAGGCUUUAACUCCUUGACUGCGUAGGGUAUCACCUCUCCCCGGCGGUCUCAUAGGAAACUUAUCAAACACUAUAUUCACCACUUUUUUGCUAGUUGACUUUUAUACUGUUGUUCUUUGCCUAAACAGCAAUGGGCACACGUUUAAUUAUUUGAACGUUAAAAAUACAACUCUUAGCAAUGGAUAUCUCGGUUCUC